UACGUAGGGUGCAAGCGUUAAUCGGAAUUACUGGGCGUAAAGCGUGCGCCGGCGCCUUUGUAAGUCAGAUGUGAAAUCCCCGGGCUUAACCUGGGAACUGCGUUUGAAACUACAAGGCUAGAGUGUGGCAGAGGGGGGUGGAAUUCCACGUGUAGCAGUGAAAUGCGUAGAGAUGUGGAGGAACACCGAUGGCGAAGGCAGCCCCCUGGGUUAACACUGACGCUCAGGCACGAAAGCGUGGGGAGCAAACAGG
rnacentral:rRNA from 1 species